GAAAAAUUAAUUCCCUGUAUUCCUCUUCUGAGACAAGUGUCUUAAUGUAGCCAUAAACCGUUUAUAGUGUCUCUAUUGUUGAUGAGCGCUGAUCUCCGAUCGUAUUAAAUUCAUACCUAGCUAAUGGUAACAUGCUGAUUUUGGAGGGCCCUGUGCGUAUAUAGUGAUAUAUAAUAUGUUGCCAUGAGAGGAUUGCUUCAGGAGUCAUCAUCUGACCUGGG